GCAGUUUAUUCAUCUUUGCAGUUGAGAGUUUUAAUGCAUGGGGAAUCACAGACAGCCUAUAGAAAUAAAGCUUCCGCACAACCAUGGCAUAGCAGGCAUCUUCAUGCAGUGAGUUUUUGCUGGAAUCCCUGUUCUGAUUCUUGAACCCAAGAUGUCAGACUUUCUCCUGUGCUUUCAUAUAUAGACACCAUCUCACCAUACAUUGCUUUUAGCUGCAAGGAAAUUUCUCUUUCACGUCCCUCACUACUUUGUUUCUACAGAACGCUUUCCCAGUCCAAACAUCCUUGCAUUUAAAUAGAUGGGAUGACCCAAAUACUAUUGUGCAUGAUUAUUCAAGUAUGAAGUACAAACUCCAGCCCAGUGAUUUUUACAGGACAACUUAAAUCAAUAUAAUCUUUCUCAUCAGUAGAUUCUGGAAAGCCUAUAUUCUACAGCAUUGUAUGCCAUUAGUCAUUUAGCUCACUUUUGCUGUAUGUGUUGAAGCAGUACGUUGCUAAACAGCUGAACCUUUUGCUGUGCUGUACUCUGGAUUGCACUGAUUUCCUUCUGGUAUGAUGUGUAGCUUGGAAAUCCUCCACUGUAGAUUUUUGUAAUGAAUAUUUUGCAGCAAGCCACUUGUUACUAAUGAUACUAAUUUUACUUGUACAACUCUUUAUAUAACCUUUACUCAAAAAAUAAUUGGGAACAUUUACAAUGGUAAUUGAAGUGUUUACCAACCGAUGGCCUACUUGUAAGAUUAAAUGGAAUACAGCACUGCAAUUCAGAACAUUUUCCAUCCUUUUAUAUGAAGAAAAAAAAGAGUGGAAGCCAACAUUUUUUGCAGUGCAUCCCCAGAAUAUUCUUUAUUGCAGACUAUCUACUGCACAAUAGCAAUGAUUUAAACAGAGAAUGUACUCUGAAUCUGAAAUCUAAACCUAAUUUAAGGCCUAAAUGAUGCUCAUGAGUACAAAUGUAUUAUCUAUUCUCAGAAAAUCAUAUAUCACUUAAACACUAAUGUUUCCCUAAUUUUAAGCAACAUCUUGUGAGUCAAAAAUUAGAUCUGAUCCCCCAAAUUAUGAAUGUAAAAAGUAAGAUAAAGGUUUCACUAUGUCCCACCUAGUGCUAGGUUGCUUUCUCAGAUUCAUUGCUAUUUAGUCACUGCCUGCUCUAUCACUAAUGGAUAUUAAAAAUUUCUCAAAAGAUGCUGGAGAUCUGAGAAGCUGCCUGCAAGAUAAUUUGUCUGUUGAUUAAAGGAGAGCUUCCAAGUUAGACUAAGCUAACUGCCAAAAAGUGAAGUAGGGAGAAACUUAAUUUUGUCACUGAGAAUCUGUUUUUUUUUUUAUCAUUCCAGAGCAAGGGAUUGGAGAGGGUUUGUCUUUGUUUCAUUUAUAACUGAAAAUAAACAAGAAUAAAUUUCCAGGCAAAUAAA